AACACAUGCAAGUCGAACGGCAGCACAGAGGAGCUUGCUCCUUGGGUGGCGAGUGGCGGACGGGUGAGGAAUACGUCGGAAUCUGCCUAUUUGUGGGGGAUAACGUAGGGAAACUUACGCUAAUACCGCAUACGACCUACGGGUGAAAGUGGGGGACCGCAAGGCCUCACGCAGAUAGAUGAGCCGACGUCGGAUUAGCUAGUUGGCGGGGUAAAGGCCCACCAAGGCGACGAUCCGUAGCUGGUCUGAGAGGAUGAUCAGCCACACUGGAACUGAGACACGGUCCAGACUCCUACGGGAGGCAGCAGUGGGGAAUAUUGGACAAUGGGCGCAAGCCUGAUCCAGCCAUGCCGCGUGUGUGAAGAAGGCCUUCGGGUUGUAAAGCACUUUUGUCCGGAAAGAAAAGCUUAGGGUUAAUAACCCUGAGUCAUGACGGUACCGGAAGAAUAAGCACCGGCUAACUUCGUGCCAGCAGCCGCGGUAAUACGAAGGGUGCAAGCGUUACUCGGAAUUACUGGGCGU
rnacentral:rRNA from 1 species